CAGGGUUUAGCUCAUUCAGUAGAGUGCCGGCAUCCCAAGCCGGAGGCGCGGGGAGCGAAGCCCCGAACCCUGA
rnacentral:tRNA from 1 species